AUUGAUUUGAAUUAAAUAUUUUUUAAAUUAAAGUAUUAUUAAAACAAAAAUAACAAAAUAAUGUCUAAUUUUACUGAACAGGGUUAGUGGUAGGACGGGUUUGGUCGAUAGUAUUACGAGACGGUAUACCACAAGUGAAAUCCAUUAGAUAUGUUUAAUUUCAUUGUGCAUGAUUAGAUGGUAUGACGGGUUUUGAUCGAUAAUAAUACGAAACGAUAUACUACGGAUGAAAUCCUAGAUAUGACAAUUAAAAUCUAUAUAUAUAUUAUCUUAAACACUAAAUAAAGCAAACAAUAUUAAUAAAACAAAUAUCUACAUAUACAUUUUAUAUAACAAAUUUUAUUAAAAACCUAGCCCCGCGGUAUACCGCGGGUCAAAAUCUAGUUAGAGUACUAAUAUUCUAUCGAAGAAAAAUCUAAAAUCCUAUUUCUCAAAUUGUUUUUGCUAUAUUUGAUAAGAUUAGAAUUUAGAAAAAGCUUAAUUAGGAGUAGAAGAUAAUAUGUAAUU
rnacentral:sRNA from 1 species